rnacentral:tRNA from 1 species
GGAGUAGCUCAGUUGGAUAGAGCAUCGGAUUGUGGCUCCGAAGGUCGAGGGUUCGAGUCUCUUCUC